ensembl:lncRNA
UUACAGGGUACAGUGUUUAAUAGUCACAUGUACAGGGUUGCAGGUGUUAUUAGUGUUUAAUAGUCACAUUUACAUGGUUGCAGGUGUUAUUACAGGGUACAGUGUUUAAUAGUCAGAUGUACAGGGUUACAGGUGUUAUUACAGGGUACAGUGUUUAAUAGUCAGAUGUACAGGGUUACAGGUGUUAUUACAGUGUUUAAUAGUCACAUGUACAGGGUUACAGGUGUUAUUACAGGGUACAGUGUUUAAUAGUCACAUGUACAGGGUUGCAGGUGUUAUUACAGUGUUUAAUAGUCACAUGUACAGGGUUACAGGUGUUAUUACAGGGUACAGUGUUUAAUAGUCACAUGUACAGGGUUACAGGUGUUAUUACAGGGUACAGUGUUUAAUAGUCACAUGUACAGGGUUACAGGUGUUAUUACAGUGUUUAAUAGUCACAUGUACAGGGUUGCAGGUGUUAUUACAGGGUACAGUGUUUAAUAGUCACAUGUACUGGGUUACAGGUGCUAUUACAGGG